rnacentral:piRNA from 1 species
UCGUAUCCAAAUUUUAUACAA